rnacentral:rRNA from 1 species
GACAGAGGGUGCAAACGUUGUUCGGAAUUACUGGGCGUAAAGCGCGUGUAGGCGGCCAACUAAGUCGGGCGUGAAAUCCCACGGCUCAACCGUGGAAGUGCACUCGAAACUGGAUGCGUAUAGCGUCUGGAGAGGAAGGUGGAAUGCUUGGUGUAGAGGUGAAAUUCGUAGAUAUCAAGCGGACACCGGUGGCGAAGGCGGCCUUCUGGACAGUGACUGACGCUGAGACGCGAAAGCGUGGGGAGCAAACAGG